rnacentral:ncRNA from 15 species
CGAGGCGAGUGAGGGAGUUCGACCGGAGUAGCCGACUCAGGCGAGACGCGCAAGCAUCCGCCCGGGCCGACAGCGACGGUAGGGCUGAGAGGCCGGAAGGCGCAGGCCAGACGGCGACCCCCAAUACCUGAUCCGGAUCAUGCCGGCGCAGGGAACCCGUCUCGUAGGUCU